rnacentral:misc_RNA from 1 species
AAGCAAUAUCUGGUGUUCAGGUAAGUAGCUAUUUUAACUGUGCUUUCAUGUAUUUCCUAAAAUUGCACACUGUAUUGCUUAAAGUUGCAAUUCUUUUCUUCUGUGGAGCAUGUUGCACUUAUAAUAUUGUACUUCAUGGGGAGUAUCUAGCGUCUAAGUUGUUUUUUGGAGCCUAUUAUGAAGUUUCUUAGAUUAGUCAGCUACAGUAGUGAUUUAGUAGACUCCUUGUUAAUUUUUAUAGAUUGGGGAUGGCAAGAUUCAUUGGAACCUUCUCUUUUCCUGGAGAUUGGACGUAUAUCAACAAUCCAAGUGAUCAAUUUCUUUCUAUUCUUUACUUGGAUCUUUCAAAUCAUUGUCAUCUAUUUCGAAGGGCAAUGUAAUACUACUGAGACUUGAAAUGUGAAUGUGAUAUGCCAAGAAUACUAGUUCAUGAUUCCAACUUACUGCAUUUGGCGUCGUUAGAAAUUGAUUCUGUACCUAAUAAAGGCAUCUCCUACCUCACUGUAGCAAGAAAUCCUUUAGGAAAAACAUGUCAAUUUCUAGCUAAUGAUGAAGAAAGUUCUGUUUCUUUAUUAUAAAUCUAUGGAGCUUUUGUUAUCUUUGCACAAGAUUUGGUCAAUACAAUUACCUGGUUGUGAAAUUAUUUCCUAGAGAUUAUCUUAAAAUAAGAAUUGAGCAUUAACUGAGGCUGAGGUAGUCUGUACCAUUUUAUUUGCUAUUAACUAUCACAUGUUUUAUUAAAAUCCAUUUGCAGACUGUUCGUUUUAAA